CAUCACCACCGUCCGACCACCACCACUGCCAGAGCACCACUUCCAGGCAUGCGUGAUUCGAGCUCUGCAUACUGUUCAAUUAGAUGUCAUUGUGGUGUCUCGAAUGCAAACUACUAAUUACUAAUUACUAACUUACUGUUAAAAAAAAUGAUUACUAAAAUAAAGUUUAUGUAGUUGGAUUGAAUGUGUAGUUAAAAAAGAUAAAUGUGGGUAUUAUUGUUAGUAUAAUUAUUAUUAUUAUAAGUAUUA